UAUCCUUUUUAACAAUCCUAAUUUUGUUCCUUGAUUUCUUGUGGGUCCUGUGCUGACUGCCCUGACCAGCACUUCGAGCUGCUGUGCAGGCAUAUCGGCGUGAAGAGGAGUCACAAUUUUACCGGUCAUCUAAAAGACGAAGAGAGAGAUUUGAUCAGGGUGGUUUUGGAGAUUCAGCUGUUGUAGAACCACCAAGGGGGAGAGGUGUUCAAUUUCCUUUUGCUGUGAUGGACCGUGUUAUCAUAAAGGGAAACAAGAGGACACCGCAACGCUUUGUUGGGCGUGAAGCUAUUGUAACAACACAAUGCCUUAAUGGAUGGUAUGUGGUGAAGACACUGGACAAUGCAGAGAGUGUGAAAUUACAGUAUCGGUCCCUUGCUAAGGUUUUGGAUGAUUCUUCAAAACCUUCCUCCACCAAGAUGCCACCUAAUUGGCGUUAGUUCUGAGCCAUCAAAUGUAGCUGAUCAUACUUCUAUACCAACAUGAUUGUGCUUUCGAAAUCCCAGUGUUAGUGUUCCUUGUUGCAAUAAAACCGUGGUAGCAACAGAUCGUGUAAAUAUAGAAAGCCUUGUGCUUUGUGUUCCUUAAUAUUUAUGAUUGUAUUUAAUGUAAUCAUUUUGUUAUACAUAGAUAAUAUUAGAUACGCUAACAGAUUUAUAGUAAAAAAUGAAGAUGAUUAUUUGGUUUCAGUUUA